CUACACAUGCAGUCGAGCGGAUGACGGGAGCUUGCUCCUUGAUUCAGCGGCGGACGGGUGAGUAAUGCCUAGGAAUCUGCCUGGUAGUGGGGGACAACGUUUCGAAAGGAACGCUAAUACCGCAUACGUCCUACGGGAGAAAGCAGGGGACCUUCGGGCCUUGCGCUAUCAGAUGAGCCUAGGUCGGAUUAGCUAGUUGGUGGGGUAAUGGCUCACCAAGGCGACGAUCCGUAACUGGUCUGAGAGGAUGAUCAGUCACACUGGAACUGAGACACGGUCCAGACUCCUACGGGAGGCAGCAGUGGGGAAUAUUGGACAAUGGGCGAAAGCCUGAUCCAGCCAUGCCGCGUGUGUGAAGAAGGUCUUCGGAUUGUAAAGCACUUUAAGUUGGGAGGAAGGGCAGUAAGUUAAUACCUUGCUGUUUUGACGUUACCGACAGAAUAAGCACCGGCUAACUCUGUGCCAGCAGCCGCGGUAAUACAGAGGGUGCAAGCGUUAAUCGGAAUUACUGGGCGUAAAGCGCGCGUAGGUGGUUUGUUAAGUUGGAUGUGAAAGCCCCGGGCUCAACCU
rnacentral:rRNA from 1 species